CCCAACAACGAGGAGUGUGUUAAGAAAAGGAUGUAAUAUAACUGUCGGUUCAUUGAGUGAAGGAAGAAGAAUUAGAAUACCAGUAGUUCAGUAGAAAUCAGUUACGUUGAAGCCCUUGAAAAGAUCCAAAUAAUGAUUCGUGACACACGUGGUAAUGUUGGAGGUUUUUUAAAAAAUCGUUGCAACAAACUGGCUUUGUGUUGGAUCCAGUUCAACAACAAUGUCCAGUUACAACGGACAUGUUGCGUCGUCAAUGAAGAAAUAUCAAGGAACUGGAUCCAACCCUCAAUAGACAGUGGACACUGGGUACCCAGUGGUCAUCCCUAAAUGUUCCCGUGCGAUUAAGAUCCGCGAUGGCCAAAAGGUGUCUAGGUCAAUCACAAGCAGGUGAUCAUCAAGACAAACGCCAUGUCCAUUUGGCUUGUAUGGAUCCCAAUGAAUUUGGAGUUGGAAUAUGGGAGUCUCUCAUUGAGAAACCGGAUUGGCAAUCUGAAUAAUUUAUAUACGAAUGACCAUCCAGAGAGAAAGAGUACAAUGAGGGAUAUAGACCAGUUCAACGAAUCCACAUGUCUCCGUGCUUGGCUAUCCGUUGUAGCCAUUUCUCUACCUACUAUGGACUCACCAUCGUCAUCAUCCAGUGUGUGCUCGAGAAUUCGAUGAAUCGUUCGCACGCAUUGGAAUCACGCGAGAGCUAUUGAUGCUGAAAUAGUGUACAAAAAAAUAUCACGAAUUCAUUUCUUUAUACCAAUAAUCAGCAGUUUUAUCUCAACACAAAUACCAUUGGGAAACUAUCAGAAAUCAUUUUUCUCUUCAUUCCAUCAAGCUUGGAAUUUUUUUCUUCAACUUCCAUCCAUUUUUAAAAUGACUUUCAUUGGAUAUAACCUAACAUUUUUAUUGUCCAAUAAACAUUAAAUACAAGAGACAACAAAAAACAAGGGUUAAUUAAUUUUGCAAAGGAAAAAAAUAUGAAAAAUCCAACAAUUGGUUGGAAUAAACCCUUUCUCUUUUAUCGAAUAAUCUCGUGGCCCUCUGGAGAGAAAUCUGAAGGCUGGAAGCAGUGGAAGGUCGUCUUCAGGAGCAACGCAUAUGAGGCGUGGCUCAUCAUUGGACUUGGAUCAGAAAAUAAACAUGGUUUCAUUGACCACCUAUAGACGCCGAUACCAGUCGAUGAGGUAGAGAAAAUGACAAUAUCACCGCGAUCUGAUUUACUUACAGAUGAAACUUCAGAUCUGUGCUUCUCAUCUUGUGAUCUGUAUCACUUCUAUUCCUAAUUUCAAAGAGAAGAGUCUUUAGAUUAAUAUAAGAGUAAGUAUGGCAUUUAUUAUUUCCAAUAUUAUUGCUUGAAUUUGAUAUAUUCUAUAAAAUAAUUAAUUCUGCAUCGAUUGGAAUUGAAAAAUAGGAAUCUUUCUGAUAAUUUAAGCGAAAUAAUUCAUUUUCAAGUUCACGAAUUCGGAAAAUAGUACAUUUCACACCUAGGGAGGGAAAGUAGUCUUUUUCAAACCUCGGUAAAAUUACCACCGAAGGCGAGGGUGGUAAACAAGUGAUUUAAGCUCAUUUACUUUCCGUCUCUCGGUUAAUAAUAUACUAUUUUCGUCACCUCGGCAUAGAAAGUGAACUUUCCGGCACGGGUAUGACGAAAAUAAAAUUUUUACUUAUUAAUCAACUUUAUUUUGAUGUAAUGCUCAUCUUUAAUAGAAAAAAAAAAUCAUCAAAAUCAGUGACUAUAAGCUUUUUCAUCAGAGAUGAAUAAAUAAAAAAGACUAAUGUUUAAAAUGAAUUUUUAUUGCACUCUUAUAUAUUAUACUUGCUUAUGGUCUCAUUGAGAGGAUAUAAAAAGUUUUAAAA